rnacentral:rRNA from 1 species
CGGGUGAGUAAUGCAUCGGAACGUACCCAUUUGUGGGGGAUAACUAUCCGAAAGGAUAGCUAAUACCGCAUAAGUCCUGAGGGAGAAAGCGGGGGAUCGCAAGACCUCGCGCGAAUGGAGCGGCCGAUGCCGGAUUAGCUAGUUGGUAGGGUAAAGGCCUACCAAGGCGACGAUCCGUAGCUGGUCUGAGAGGAUGAUCAGCCACACUGGAACUGAGACACGGUCCAGACUCCUACGGGAGGCAGCAGUGGGGAAUUUUGGACAAUGGGGCAACCCUGAUCCAGCCAUUCCGCGUGAGUGAAGAAGGCCUUCGGGUUGUAAAGCUCUUUCGGCAGGAACGAAACGGUUUGGGUUAAUACCCUGAGCUAAUGACGGUACCUGAAGAAGAAGCACCGGCUAACUACGUGCCAGCAGCCGCGGUAAUACGUAGGGUGCGAGCGUUAAUCGGAAUUACUGGGCGUAAAGCGUGCGCAGGCGGUUAUGUAAGACAGAUGUGAAAUCCCCGGGCUUAACCUGGGAACUGCGUUUGUGACUGCAUAACUUGAGUGUGGCAGAGGGGGGUGGAAUUCCACGUGUAGCAGUGAAAUGCGUAGAGAUGUGGAGGAACACCGAUGGCGAAGGCAGCCCCCUGGGUCAACACUGACGCUCAUGCACGAAAGCGUGGGUAGCAAACAGGAUUAGAUACCCUGGUAGUCCACGCCCUAAACGAUGCCAACUAGGUGUUGGGGAAGGAGACUUCCUUAGUACCGUAGCUAACGCGUGAAGUUGGCCGCCUGGGGAGUACGGUCGCAAGAUUAAAACUCAAAGGAAUUGACGGGGACCCGCACAAGCGGUGGAUGAUGUGGAUUAAUUCGAUGCAACGCGAAAAACCUUACCUACCCUUGACAUGCCAGGAACUUGGUAGAGAUACCUUGGUGCCCGAAAGGGAGCCUGGACACAGGUGCUGCAUGGCUGUCGUCAGCUCGUGUCGUGAGAUGUUGGGUUAAGUCCCGCAACGAGCGCAACCCUUGUCAUUAGUUGCCAUCAUUUAGUUGGGCACUCUAAUGAGACUGCCGGUGACAAACCGGAGGAAGGUGGGGAUGACGUCAAGUCCUCAUGGCCCUUAUGGGUAGGGCUUCACACGUCAUACAAUGGUCGGUACAGAGGGUUGCCAAGCCGCGAGGUGGAGCCAAUCCCAGAAAGCCGAUCGUAGUCCGGAUCGGAGUCUGCAACUCGACUCCGUGAAGUCGGAAUCGCUAGUAAUCGUGGAUCAGCAUGCCACGGUGAAUACGUUCCCGGGUCUUGUACACACCGCCCGUCACACCAUGGGAGUUGGUUUCACCAGAAGUAGGUAGCCUAACCGCAAGGGGGGCGCUUACCACGGUGGGAUUCAUGACUGGGGUGAAGUCGUAACAAGGUA